rnacentral:rRNA from 1 species
GCAGCGUUAUUCGGAAUUACUGGGCGUAAAGCGAGGCGUAGGUGGCUCUNUUAAGUCAGAUGUGAAAUCCCCGGGCUNNCUGGGACUGCAUCUGAAACUGUAGAGCUAGAGUAUGUGAGNGAAAGGUAGAAUUCCAGUGUAGCGGUGAAAUGCGUAGAGAUCUGGAGGAAUACCGAUGGCGAAGGCAGCUUCUGGCAUAAUACUGACACUGAGGCUCGAAAGCGUGGGUAGCAAACAGGAUUAGAUACCUGGUAGUCCACGCCGUAAACGAUGUCUACUAGUCGUUGGGUCCCUUGAGGACUUAGUGACGCAGCUAACGCAAUAAGUAGACCGCCUGGGGAGUACGGCCGCAAGGUUAAAACUCAAAUGAAUUGACGGGGGCCCGCACAAGCGGUGGAGCAUGUGGUUUAAUUCGAUGCAACGCGAAGAACCUUACCUGGUCUUGACAUAUCUAGAAUCCUGCAGAGAUGCGGGAGUGCCUUCGGGAAUUAGAAUACAGGUGCUGCAUGGCUGUCGUCAGCUCGUGUCGUGAGAUGUUGGGUUAAGUCCCGCAACGAGCGCAACCCUUGUCCUUAGUUACCAGCGGGUUAAGCCGGGAACUCUAAGGAUACUGCCAGUGACAAACUGGAGGAAGGCGGGGAGGACGUCAAGUCAUCAUGGCCCUUACGACCAGGGCUACACACGUGCUACAAUGGUAGGUACAGAGGGCAGCUACACAGCGAUGUGAUGCGAAUCUCAAAAAGCCUAUCGUAGUCCAGAUUGGAGUCUGCAACUCGACUCCAUGAAGUAGGAAUCGCUAGUAAUCGCGGAUCAGAAUGCCGCGGUGAAUACGUUCCCGGCCCUUGUACACACCCCCCGUCACGCCACAGGAUUCCUCUACCGUUAGAUCAUGGCUCAAUCAGUCGUAACAAGUACCCACUAGAGUU